GACGAACGCUGGCGGCGUGCUUAACACAUGCAAGUCGAACGAAGAGCGAUGGAAGCUUGCUUCUAUCAAUCUUAGAGGCGAACGGGUGAGUAACGCGUAAUCAACCUGCCCUUCAGAGGGGGACAACAGUUGGAAACGACUGCUAAUACCGCAUACGAUCUAACCUCGGCAUCGAGGAUAGAUGAAAGGUGGCCUCUACAUGUAAGCUAUCACUGAAGGAGGGGAUUGCGUCUGAUUAGCUAGUUGGAGGGGUAACGGCCCACCAAGGCGAUGAUCAGUAGCCGGUCUGAGAGGAUGAACGGCCACAUUGGGACUGAGACACGGCCCAGACUCCUACGGGAGGCAGCAGUGGGGAAUCUUCCGCAAUGGACGAAAGUCUGACGGAGCAACGCCGCGUGAGUGAUGACGGCCUUUCGGGGUUGUAAAGCUCUGUUAAUCGGGACGAAAGGCC
rnacentral:rRNA from 1 species